CUUGUGGGCCAAGGUGGUUUUUUUUUUUCUUUCCUCUUUCAUGGAAUACAAGCAAAGAAGCAAAGAAAUCAAGUGCGUAGGGAAGAAAUCAUUAGUCCAGAAGUUGGAAAUUGCUCUGCAUUUGAAUUUGGCACAGCAUGCCCUCAGUUUUUUUCAUUUCCCUUCUCUUUUCAUCCAUUGCAAGGAAGUGGAUGUAGGUACAUUUUCUUGUUUAGGUUCUGCUAAAAGCAUGUGUGCAUGCUGCCCAAAGGGGCGGAGGGAGAAGUUUUUCCUUACUUCACUUCUGGGCUGUCUGUUCAGGGCUUUACACAGGAGGUGACUUGGAAAGGCUUAUGAAUUCCAUUUACUCUGCACUCUGAUCUGAAGAUCACCGUACACUGAACAUGCAAUAUUUGCUUUAUAAAAAAGAGCCAUAGCACAGCAGCUAUUUAAACAUCUUUCCCUUCUACAAGCUGGCAAACAGCCCAUGUUCAUAGGCAUGAAAAUAUAUUUAUGUUGAGGCCAUGACUAACAAGUGAUCAAGGCAGCAGGCAUUUAGAAGUGGAGUUUUUCAGAACAGUAGUAGUAGAGGAUGUUUGCCAUGCAUAGCAGGUUUGACUAAAUUCAAACCUCCCAUUCUGGAAAACAGGAACUUUUUGGACUCAAGUAAUUCUCUUUUGUGUUUCAGCCACAUCUGUAGUGCGGAUGUGUUCCUGGGAAGAAUUACAUACCUUUAUCCAGGCUUGUGUCAAGUUCAGGUCUUCACACCAAAGGAGUACAGCAGUAAACAUGUGAUAUCAAGACCCCUUUUUGUAUGAAAACAUUUACUGAAGUCCCUUCACCCACCUCUGAUAUGAUAUGCAGCCACCUUCCUGGGAACAACUGACUUCAUUUGACAACGUGAAGAAGCACUAAAUAAAGGGAAAUGGUCCCUGAACUAUGAAGCCAUUUUGAACGAGGCAAAAAAAGUCCCUAAACCACUUAUGUGAAAAAAGCACUUUAAAACAUCUAAACUUUUAAGCCAGUUCAAAUCCUGAAGGAUGACUGGGGACAUACAAAGAUAAAAGUGCAGAGACAGAUGCUGCUACAGGCUUCAUGUGUGGGGCUCUCCCUCUGUUUACUUCAUUACCUGGAAGACCGCGUGUCACAGCACAAAGUGGUCAUAUCUGUGCCACCUAGAGAAAUUGUUGGACCACAACUCUCUUCCAAACUUGUGUUUAAGAACAGGUGUGUUUGGACCUAGUUUUGGCUUUAAAAGUGUGAAUGUGAUUUUCCAGAUGAUGGUAGAUAGGACCUUAAUGCUUUACCUUCUGCAAUCCAUGUCUAAACCUACAUUUGCCAGUUAGCAAAACACCACCCUUUGGAGCUGGUAUCAGACUUGAGAGAGUUUAGACACACAAAUCUCUCCUUAUAGCUGCAUUCACUCCUCAGCCUCUAAGUCAGGUGCUACACAGACCUGUCAGUCUCUGAAGAUUUUUUUUAAGGCCCUAUAAAUGAAAUUGUAUAUUUUUAGUGGGGGUGAGGACAGCAUUUACCAAGUAUUUGAUCACUGAUGAUUAAACAAUUUCUGGAGAAAAUUCCUAGAAACCAUUCACUAAUUCUUCCAAUUUUCAAUAUGAAACUGAAGUGCUGAAUGGGCACAGCUGGGCUAAGUGGCAAGGAAGAUGACAAUUGUCUACAAAAAGUGUUUGAAGGAUGCAAAUAUCAAGGAGUCUGAAUCUGAAUAUUUAGUGUAUUUUAAAGAUCUGUAGAUGCAAUGAGAUUAAAUUAAGUGAAAAUUCAGACUCAUCAGCAAUGAAAAAGCCUCUUGUCAUUGUUCUCUGUUACAGUCAAGAUACCCUUCCAUGGGGAUAGAGGAACCCAGAUCACUCAGAAGAAUUUAUCCCUCCCAUUAAAUUUAUAGGUAAAAAUCAUACGUAAAUCUAUCUUACUAACGGGUAGGCUGACAUUGGAAAGAUUAAGAGGCUUGCCCAUGAUCACAUAAUUAACCAAUGGCAAAGAUGGGACUGACAGAUCAGAGUUUUUUAAGUCCAUAUAGGACGCAUCUACAUGUGCAUUAAAUGCACUUUUGCUACUGCACAUUAAGUUUAUUACCUCUAAUAUGAGGUACUAACUAAAUGCAUAGUAGCCAGUGCUACUGUGCAGUAGCAAAGGUGCAUGGUCUCUCCGUGAUGCUUAAUGCGGAGUAGGCUAAUUCAAUUGUGCAUUAGCACACUAGCACAGCUUUUGUUGUGAUGCUCUAAUGCGCAGUAGCCGCCAGCAGAUGCCGGUGGCGGUGUUGGCCGGGGGAGGGUGGCAAGCGGGGACUGCCCGCAGAUGCCAGCAGCAGUGUCAGCGGCGGCGAGCAGGGACUGCCAGCAGAUGCUGGCAGGAGGAGGAGUGGUGAACACCCGCAGAAGCCAGUGUUGGCCAAUCUUGGGGGUGGGGGCAUGUGCCCCCAGUGCCCGCCCACAGGUUGUCUUUGACUGUGCAGCAAGCAUCUUGUGUAGAUGUGCCCUUUGGCUACAAUAAUGCAACCUUAUUCUACAGCUGCUUUUAGUAUAUAUGUCUGUUUGCAAGUUGCUCCAUACUCCUGGUUGUUAUACAGGACCAAUUUAAUGAAGGAGGACCAGAGUUCUUACUAAAGCAACAAGGAUUUUUUCAUGGAUGCAUUUGUGGGGUGAGGGUGUUGAUGUAAGGUACAACCCAACUAGACUGUGAAAUGUUGGAAGCAAGGAAUGGCCAAGUGGCCUCAUUAAACCUGCAGAGACAGGAAAACAGCUAAUAAUUUACACAUUUUUUUAAAACAAUGCACUAUUCAGGCAAGUCAAACUAUAAUUUUAUCAGAGCAGUGAUGUGGACAGUGUACCACACAGAAUUCUUGGCUUCAAGUCACGUUAAGCAGCAGAACAGUCUAGGACACUGGAUGCCUUAACUGCCUAUGUUUCUUAACCAAGUUAAAUCCUUCUAACACUUCUUAGGCCAACAUUUCUUCUCUGUACUGCUCAGUCACUUAUUGUGUUUGACAUUUUAUUUCCACUUUUGCAAUGUCAUCUUGUUUAGCUCAUUCUCCCAGUGUACACUGGCCAAUCUACAAAAAUGUAAUUGUGAUGUUUUACACUAGAUUAAUAUCAUAUUUUGACUACAUGCACUCUUAACCAGCAGACUGUAAUGAAAACAGCUGUUCAUUAUUAAUAUGUUAAAUAAAGUAAGA